AUGAGGAUGAUGAAAUAAAUCAUUCGGAUUCCCAAUGAUUUUCUCUUUAUAAUAGUUUUUAUUUGAAGAGAUAGGUGAUCUUACAACUUCAUUUCUGACUCAUGAUUAUAAUAAUAAUUAAUACUAGUGAGUUUAUAGUUUGAUUGGGUUUUUUUUUUUUUUUUUAAUUGAAACUGAUUUUGGCCAGUGAUGUUAAAAGAUAUUAUAUACUCUUGAUGGGAUUAUAUAUAAUCCUGUUUGAUGUUUUAUUAUCCACCAAGAUCUCUGAGGCC
rnacentral:lncRNA from 1 species